rnacentral:rRNA from 1 species
ACGGGUGAGUAAUACAUCGGAACGUACCCAGUCGUGGGGGAUAACUAACCGAAAGGUUAGCUAAUACCGCAUACGUCCUGAGGGAGAAAGCGGGGGACCGUAAGGCCUCGCGCGAUUGGAGCGGCCGAUGUCUGAUUAGCUAGUUGGUGAGGUAAAGGCUCACCAAGGCGACGAUCAGUAGCAGGUCUGAGAGGAUGAUCUGCCACACUGGAACUGAGACACGGUCCAGACUCCUACGGGAGGCAGCAGUGGGGAAUUUUGGACAAUGGGGGAAACCCUGAUCCAGCCAUUCCGCGUGAGUGAAGAAGGCCUUCGGGUUGUAAAGCUCUUUCGGCAGGGAAGAAACGCUCUGGAAUAAUACUCCGGGGUAAUGACGGUACCUGAAGAAGAAGCACCGGCUAACUACGUGCCAGCAGCCGCGGUAAUACGUAGGGUGCGAGCGUUAAUCGGAAUUACUGGGCGUAAAGCGUGCGCAGGCGGUUUUGUAAGACAGGUGUGAAAUCCCCGGGCUUAACCUGGGAACUGCGCUUGUGACUGCAAGACUCGAGUACGGCAGAGGGGGGUAGAAUUCCACGUGUAGCA